AUCUCUGUAGCGCAAUGGUCAGCGCGUAUAGGACUUCUAAUCCAAAGGUCGUGGGUUCGAAUCCCACUUGGGAUG
rnacentral:tRNA from 1 species